GAAAAAGAAAGCUGUGCUAGAUUAAUGAUGUCUUCCAUGCCUGUGGGAAAGAGCAGUGCAUUUACCCAUCCUGUCCUAGCACCUUCCCUAACCUUACUACCAUGCCUUUCCCAUCACUCUCUCUAGCACUCUCCGAAUCAGAGCAGUGCCUCUCUCAGAUACAAGAAUUAAUAGGCUCAAUGCCAAAGCCCAACCAUGACACUCUACGGUACCUCCUGGAGCAUUUAUGCAGGGGUGAUAGCACACUCAGAUAAGAAUCGCAUGACACCCCACAACCUGGGAAUUGUGUUUGGACCAACCCUGUUUCGGCCAGAGCAGGAGACAUCUGACCCAGCAGCCCAUGCUCUCUACCCAGGGCAGCUGGUCCAGCUGAUGCUCACCAACUUCACCAGCCUCUUCCCCUGAUGCAGGGAAGGAAGAAGAGAAAACAUAUUUCCGGUCAUCUCUGGUGGUGAGAGGCUGGUGUUCUGUUUUGAGGAUAUCCCUUUAAAUCUCCCAAAUGACUGUCUCUAUCUUCAUGAGUGUGACUUGAGGUGUUGGGAUGGGUGAGGGAGCUUCUCUAAAGAGGAAAGUGAGUGGAUUAACCCCUGCUUCUCUUCUUGUUCCCUGUUAUCAUUCCUCCCCAACAUAAUAAUAAAGUGGCA
rnacentral:lncRNA from 1 species